AGCAGCCGCGGUAAUUCCAGCUCCAAUAGCGUAUAUUAAAGUUGUUGCAGUUAAAAAGCUCGUAGUUGAAUUUCGGGGUCAGUAGGUUGGUCGUGCCACUGGUAUGUACUGGUCUCACUGAUUCCUCCUUCCUGAUGAACCGUAAUGCCAUUAAUUUGGUGUUGCAGGGAAUCUGGACUGUUACUUUGAAAAAAUUAGAGUGUUUAAAGCAGGCUAACGCUUGAAUACAUUAGCAUGGAAUAAUGAAAUAGGACGAUCGAUCCUAUUUUGUUGGUUUCUAGGAUUGACGUAAUGAUUAAUAGGGAUAGUUGGGGGCAUUAGUAUUCAAUUGUCAGAGGUGAAAUUCUUGGAUUUUAUUGAAGACUAACUACUGCGAAAGCAUUUGCCAAGGAUGUUUUCAUUAAUCAAGAACGAAAGUUAGGGGAUCGAAGACGAUCAGAUACCGUCGUAGUCUUAACCAUAAACUAUGCCGACUAGGGAUCGGAUGAUGUUAAUUUUUUAAUGACUCAUUCGGCGUACC
rnacentral:rRNA from 1 species